UACGGGGUGCUUAUACUGCAUCUCGAACGGGCAAUACAAAAUUGGCAACACUUUUGUAAAGCUAGUGGCGAACGGGUGAGUAACGCGUAGGUAAUUUACCUUAGAGAUUGGAAUAACCUCCUGAAAGGGAGGCUAAUACCAAAUAUUCCAUUUAUUUUGCAUGAAAAUAAUAGGAAAGGUAUCCUCCUGGCCUCCGCUCUAACAUAAUCCUGCGUCCUAUUAGCUAGUUGGUAAUGUAAAGGCUUACCAAGGCUAUGAUGGGUAGCCGGUUUGAGAGGGUGACCGGCCACACUGGGACUGAGAUACCGCCCAGACUCCUACGGGAGGCAGCAGUAGGGAAUAUUGCGCAAUGGGCGAAAGCCUGACCCCCCGACAUCUUGUGGAGGAUGAAUGUCUUCCGAUCCCAAACUCCUGUCAUUUGGGGACGAACGCUAUAGGGUUAAUAGCCCGAAUGCUGACGGUACCCAAUAAGGAAGUCUCGGCUAACUCCGUGCAACACCCGCGUUAAAACGGAGGAGGCAAGCUUUGUCCGGAAUCAUUGGACGUAAAGAGCGCGUACGCGGUUUUUCAAUUCAUGUCCGAAAACUUCAGGCUUAACCUGAAUACUGCAUAUGACACUGGACAUCUAAAGUACCGCAUAGCAAAGUGGAACUCCUGGUGUAACAGUGAAUUGCGAAGACACCACGACUAACAUCCCUUAGCGAAGCAGCUUCCAGGUCGUUACAGACGCUGACGCGCCUUAGAUUCGGUAGCAAACCGGAUUAGUUAUCCCUGGUUCUCCUAGCCGA
rnacentral:rRNA from 1 species